rnacentral:lncRNA from 1 species
CACACACACACACACACACACACACACACACACACACACACACACACACACACACACACACACACACACACACAGUUGUGAUACCUAUUCAAAUAAACCACGCUGUGACAAUGUUGUUUUAUUAUUACUUCUUGUUGCAUCGACAGGAGUUCAGACUCGUUGUCAGGAUGACGUAGAUAAGACGUGGCAUCCACUUGGUUCACGUUGGAGAAACAGUAAAUGCAUGGACUGUGACUGCUCUUCAUGUUGUGCCGCAUAUUCCUCACCAAGAAAGUUCCCCAGUGACUGUGUGUCUGUGUUCGACCCAAAGGCGUGCAAAUACAUUGUGCACAAGAAGAACAACCCAUCUGAGCUUUGUCCAGUUUUUGCUGCUGUGGGAUAAUAGUUGAUGUCAAAUGUGGUCUGAAGGACAGUUCGGGUGAACAUGCAUCAAAAUGAAGAUUUGCAAAGAUCAGGUGGUUUGUUUUUCAAGAGACAUCAGUAUUGUUUUCAUUGUGUACCAUGCAGCAAACAUGAAUGCACCUUGACCUGCAAAUAAAAGCCAGAUUAAACUGAUGAGGUGUAAUUCAUUCAAUAACAGCCAGUAACAGCAGUUAGAUUAGCACAUUCCAUCUAUAGUCCUGGAAGGCCAAAUGUUUGUUUGUUCCAACACUCCUUAAUCAAAUUCCACAUUCUGCAAAAGUCUGUUUUCCUCCAUCUAAACCAAAAUCUCAAAUCAGAAAAUAAAAUACCAAUCGACUCUACAAAGAAAACUCUCAGGAGCAGCUCAUGGUGGCCGAAUUUAUCAAAUUUUCUUUGCAAACAAACAUAUUGUGAGUGUCUCCUAAAAACAUGACAUAGCAGAUAAAUCACAAAUGUUAGAGCGCUGAAUCUCUGUGUUGGGGGUCAUUGAUCUCAGUUAGAAGCAGCCUUCCUCUAACACCACUAGGUGGCGUACAGAGGCAGGCCAUUCCUGUGUUUUGGCAGCGUUGUCUUCAUCACUCUUCUUACUCAGUCAGAGAGAAAGAGAGAGAACACCAGGGAAGUUUUGAAGACCCAUUCAGGGUUUAAGUAUCUUUCUGUUUGGAUGACCUUGACAUAAACAGAAAUCAGGACCAGAAGGAGGAUUUUGGACCUCCUCUCAUCUAUGCUUGACCUGGAGAUGAGAGGGUACCAUCACCAUCACUCCUGCUUUGUCUCACCCCUUUUCUUCAAACUCUCUCAAUCACUCAGAGCUCUCUUGUGGAUUACUGCUGCUUUGUUCUGCUGAAACCAUCUAUGGAGGAUUGACAGACAAGUUUGCACAGAGGAUUAACAACAUUUUUAAGUUGAAGUUGUUGCCUUUUGUUUUGAGACCAGUUUGA